GACGAACCGUGCGAACGUUAUUCGGAAUCACUGGGCUUAAAGGGCGCGUAGGCGGGCUCGCAGGUCAGGGGUGAAAGCCCACGGCUCAACCGUGGAAGUGCCUUUGAUACCGUGAGUCUCGAGGGAGGUAGGGGCGUGCGGAACUUCCGGUGGAGCGGUGAAAUGCGUAGAUAUCGGAAGGAACAUCGGUGGCGAAAGCGGCGCGCUGGACCGCAUCUGACGCUGAGGCGCGAAAGCCAGGGGAGCAAACGGG
rnacentral:rRNA from 1 species